GCAUUAAUGGGGUAGUGGUAACCUGGGUCGUUGCCAUUGAAUAACCUGUAGUGAAAUCGUCACUCGACCCGCCGGGGGUUCGAUUCCCUCUUAAUGCA